rnacentral:rRNA from 1 species
CCUACGGGUGGCAGCAGUGAGGAAUAUUGGUCAAUGGGCGGAAGCCUGAACCAGCCAAGUCGCGUGCGGGAUGAAGGCCCUACGGGUCGUAAACCGCUUUUGCACGGGGGUAGCACCCUCCACUUGUGACCUUCUGCAGUUACCUUUCGGAUAAGGGCCGGCUAAUUCCGUGCCGGCACACGCGGUAAUGCGGUAGGCCCGGGCGUUAUCCGGAUUAAUGGGGCUAAAGGGGAGCCUAGGGGGGGGUGCUAGUCAGAGGUAAAAUCCCGGGGCUAACCCGCGCCCCGCAGUUGAAACUGGACGGCUGGAGUCCAGGAGAGGGAGGUGGAAUUCGUGGUGUAGCGGUGAAAUGCAUAGAUAUGACGAGGAACACCGAUGGCGAAGGCAGCCUGCCGGGGUGAGACUGACGCUGAGGCGCGAAGGUGUGGGUAUCAAACAGGAUUAGAUACCCUAGUAGUC